rnacentral:lncRNA from 10 species
CAAUUAUGACCUCUCCUAUUUCCUCAAAUCUCUGAUUCGUUCUUGCUUCUAAUGCAGGAUACCCUCUGAGGUCAAAUCAUUGGGCUUGUGGCCAUGAGACCACAGACUUUGCCUAGCUUCCAGUGACUGUCCGAGAUGACCUGUGGAGUGCACCGCCUGUACUUGGACAUCACUGUCUUUUCCGAUCCAUACCCGUCAUCCUUGGAAUUUCCCCUGCAUCCAAACCUGUUCCUGAUACAGAUAACCCUAAGGAAUAUCUUGGAUGUCUUCACGGGGCUUAUGACUUAUUCUGAGGUUUACAAAAUAGAGGCCCCCAGCUGAGCAAAGAGAGGGCUGCAGCGCCGAGGGAACAGCUGCCGGACUCACCGGAGAGGCCUCCUGGAGCACGCCGGGACCCCCUCCACCCCCUGGCUUUGGCUGCAUCCAUGGCUAGUUUGCCUGAACUAUAUCUGAGCCACUGAGAGUAUUUAUUAAGCAGAGAAUAAUUUUGAGUUUCACUUUUAUAACUUUUGUUUCAAAAGUUGUUUUGGAUAAUUUAAUGAAAUGACUGUAAACCAGAAUUCCCCUUUUCAUUAUUUCUUUGUGUCGAUAUAAAAAGAGUUGAUGAUUUUAAAAGCCAGUGAGAUGUCCCUGUCUGUGGAUGUCAGCGGGAGCGUGGGGUCUGAAGCCUUUCUCUGGUGGCUGUCCAGGAAGAUUGCCCCAGCUUGCACUCCCUUUUGGCGGGUUCCAGAGCCUUCCAUUUGAAAGGAGCAUCUCUCCCCACUCUGCCCCACCCAGCACCAGCUCUUCUGGAACCCACUGACUUCCUAAACACUUUCUUCCUCCUUCACCUCAUUGAAUUCAAGACUUUAGAAAACAGCCAAAAACUCUAGAGGUGGGGGUGGGUGUGAUCUGGAAAUCCCUGCUGUAAUCUUUUUAAGGGAAUCCACUGGAAAUUAUUAAUUUAUGUUUUAAAUAAAACCAUUCCUUACUUCACAGAAUAUUAAGCCACUCACUUUUUAACAGAACUUUGAGAUAUAAUUAAAAUGCCGUAAAUUUCACCCCCACACAGUGUACAGUUCCAAGGUUUCCAAUAUAGUCACAGAAGUCUCUGCAACAAUUACCACAAUUUUAGACAUGAAGACCAUUUGUUGGCAGCCCUACCUGUAUCUAUGUGUAUAUAUAUAAUUUUAAUAUUGGAUUAGAUGUUAUAGUAUUUAAUAUUGUACUGUUACCUAUUUGUGUCUUUAUAUUGCUGUUUUUUAUUCAGGUGAAUAAUAAUUAUCUCCAUAUAGUCAUACAUUUAUAUAGGGUUAAAACAUACCUUUUUACAAUUCAAUAAAUUAAAUUGGCCAGGCGUGGUGGCUCAUGCCUGUAAUCCCAGCACUUUGGGAGGCCGAGGGGGGCGGAUCACCUGAGGUUGGGGGUUCGAGACCAGCCUGACCAACAUGGAGAAACCCUGUCUGUACUAAAAAUACAAAAAAUUAGCCGGGUGUGGUGGCUCAUGCCUGUAAUCCCAGCUACUUGGGAGGCUGAGGCAGGAGAAUCACUAGAACCCAGGAGGCGGACGUUGCGGUAAGCCGGGAUCGCACCAUUGCACUCCAGCCUGGGCAACAAGACCAAAACUCCAUCUCAAGAAAAAAAAAAAAAAAAAAAGAAAGUAAAUUGUUUUUAAUUACUCACAUAAGAAACACAUGUGUUAUUGUUAUAAAAAUUCACAUAGUGCUUAGGUCUACAGAAUAAACGUAUCCCCGCCACCUCCCAGCCCACCCCCUCGUCUGCAUUCACCUACACACAGUUAAACAUGCACAUAUGUUUCCGUGACACGAUCUUGUUUGCAUAUUGUUCACUGAUUUGCUUUUCCAUAUAAGAUUUAAUUUGGUGAUUAUUGCUUAUCAGUACCUAUAGGUCUCUCUCAUUAUUAUUUAUAAUUACAUCAUUAUUCCAUAGGGUAUUUUACCAUAAUUUGGUCACUUUUUCACUGAGGAAUUUUUAUGUCAGUUUCAGUUAUUUGUUAUUGUUACCAAUGCUGUACUGGGCAUCCCUGUAUAUCCACCUUUUUGUUGCAUUAGUUAAGUGGUUUUUUCCUUUUAUGAUUGAUUUCUAAAAAUAAAAUACUGCAGCAAAUGUUAAUGUUUAAUAUUUUCAUAAAAUUAAAAAUCUGUGUUCCAAAAAGAAAUCAAUGGUUUAUACUUCUACCAUCAGUGUAUGAGAAUUCCUAUUUCCCCACACCCUUAAUUACACAGGAAAUUAUCAAUGUUUG